AGCGAGAAGAUCUUAAGGCCAUGAGAAUUCUCCACCAGGAGUUUGGGAUUACGUAGCAGCCAGGUGAGAAGGUCAGUGCGAGAGAUAGGGACGAAGAUAUCACAAGGGACAAGGACGAAGAUCUUGCAGGGUCGGCCUUCACCCACGAGCAGCAGAGAUUGAUGAGGUCACUGGUUUGCUCUAUCACUUCUGCUCAACCCAGUGGCAAGGUGAGCUUCACUGUGGUUACGGUGCUCUAGAGCAGGUUAAUGAGCAUGCGUUUCUCUACAGGGGCACGGUGCUGUACAAAUCCAAUUAGUCUGGAGACAAGGAGCAUCGUCACACCCAUGGACGUGUAUCAAUUAUUGUGACACACUAGGUAGGAUCCAAUCCAACUUCAUUAACUCGC
rnacentral:lncRNA from 1 species